UCAAAGCGGGAUUGAAUUUGGAAAUCGCACCCUUCCCCCAAAUUGUAUACCUUGCCCUUCUCUUGUAAAAAUUUUUGGUUUAAGCGCCACUUUCUGAAAGGUGAGGGCCUGAAAAUUUCAAUUGGCGCCAUUAAAAUGUUUGGGAUCUUUUUCAUUUUCUGGGUAAGUGAAUUUGGUUGUUGACUGACUUCCCGCAGCGGCAUCUCCAUCUCUUCUCAUUUUCUAUGUCCUAGCGUUUCAAAGAAGCCAUUUUUGGAGGAUUCCUUUGUCUUUCAAGCGCUUAAUUACUCUCGAUCUGGCACUUUCUUUCUCUUCGAUCCCCUUCAAAUCUCAGGAAAGGGUUUCCAUUGGGACUGAAGUAGUCUGUCAUUCAAAAGAACACACUAUAGGAAAUAUGGUUGGAGAAGCAAGCGUCACAUAUGAAACUUCCAACAAUUUGGUGCCAAACAGAAACUUUGGGAUUUGUUUUACACCGCCACUGAGGAAUGAGAGGGCCAAGAGGUUCCCAAGAGAGACGAACUAGCUAACAGUAGUAUCGCAGUUUCUUCUAGAAGGCUUGUGGUCCUUUCAGAUGGCACUUAGGCCACUCAAAGUGCAGCCCUAGAAACUUCUAUUUCUCCCCCUACCUUGGUUCAAGGGUCGUUGGCUACUCAAGGAAACCUGAGAUCACUGCUGCUAUAAAAAUAUAAAAGUGCUCAAAGGAUGGUUGAAGCAUAGUAGAAGCGUGCAAAUUUCAGUUUGUAAAAACUAGUUUUGACCAAAGUUGACCUUAGUUGACUAUGCUAGUUUUUUGGGUUUCUUUGGUAUUUUUGGUUUUUUUGUCUUCUCGUUAAUUUUUUUCUUUGUUUAGCUUUGGUAGGCUACUUUAUUUCAUCAAGACCGCAUUUUGUUGCGUUGACUAGGUUUGGUUGAGCUUGUAUAAACUUUACUUCAUUUUUUGGUUAAUAAAAUUUCUUAUGUACCAAAAAGAGGAAAUAAAAUAAAAUAAUCCAA